GCACUUGAGGCAGAGGUGAAGAAAAAGAAUCAAACAUGUCAGACUUUGGAGAAUGAGCUUCAAGAUUUCCUCCAGGAAAACAAGCACUUGAACCUCCAGUUGUUGAAAAAUAGCCACAAGGCCCCUGAGUAUGAGAAGGUGAAGUCUGAGUAUGCCCAGCUCAAAGAGGCCCUUGGUGCUGUGACGCAGGAGAGAGAUUUAGCCCUGUGGGAGAGGAACCAGCUCCAAGGCAAACUGGAGAACCUAGAGCAGGUGCUCAAGUUUCGUGUUGGGAGUUCUGACCAGGAGCUGUGAAAGAGUAGAAGCUUGGAGCAGUCUUCCCCAUUUUUCUUUCCUAUUCCGUCCUUUGAUGUUCACCUACCC
rnacentral:lncRNA from 1 species